UGUCCUUUAAAUAAAGCCUAGUGUGAACGGCUAAAUGAGGACAAAUCUGUCUCUUGCAACCAAUCAGUGAAACUGAUCUUCCGGUCCAAAAGCCGGAAUACCCCCAUAAGACGAGAAGACCCUGUGGAGCUUCAAACAAACUACUACGUGACACACCAAGGACACAACUAGUAAUAAACGUUUUGAGUUGGGGCGACUUCGGAAAUAAAAAAAACUUCCAAGCACAGAACCACCAGUUCUUACCAAGACCAACAAGUCAAAGCCUUAAAGCACGACCCAGUAACACUGAUCAACGAACCAAGUUACCCCAGGGAUAACAGCGCCAUCUUCUUCAAGAGUCCAUAUCGACAAGAAGGUUUACGACCUCGAUGUUGGAUCAGGACACCCUAAUGGUGCAGCCGCUAUUAAAGGUUCGUUUGUUCAACGUAGCACAGU
rnacentral:rRNA from 1 species